ensembl:lncRNA
CUGGAUGUAUAGGGACCCUCGCACCCUGUCGCCCCUGUCUUCUCCCGCCAAGGACUACUCGGCAUCGAGCAUUGUGGACGGUGAAAGCCAGUUGUCUGAGGCACAGGACAAUGAUGAACAUGUACAAAGUGGGGGCGUGGCUAUGGAGGCUGGUGAUUUAAAGGCCGUACAACCCGUACACCACUGGCUUCAGGAGUAUGCUGUCUAUCUGGCCGGAUUGAAUCUGUCCUUCCUACACAUCGGAAAGGACAGUGAGCUGGAGGUGGACACUGCUAUGAGAGAUGACGGAUGGCCUGUAUCAACACAGAUCCGUUUAAACCCUGCAGCGCUGGGUGUUCUGCGAUUUACCACUGGUAUCUGCGUGGCAGCCAUCAUCACACAUCAGAAGCAAGCGGACUGCUGGGGGUGCCAAAGUGAUUGCCCAAGUCAACGACGCCAUUGCUGCAUGCAAGGAUCGACACAUCAUCACUACGAAUCCCAUUACGAUACCAUAUGUGAUAUAUUGGAUAGACCCCCAUUCCUGCUACUUUUAGAAACUGUUUUAAAGAAGACUAUAGGGUUGACUGUGUCCCCAGGAAAAAUCUAUGGUGUGGUCGAUUAUUUUCUAUGUGAUUUAUUGGGCAACACCUAUGAUACCGAAAAACUGGAUUUAAUAACCAGCGAAGGGGUGCCCGAUGAACAGCUGCUUUUGAUAUAUGAAGCCACACAAAUGUGGCGUAAUACAUUGUCAUUCGGUAAUACAAGGCCUGGUGUCAAGCAUCGUUUAUAAUGGGGGUGUUGUUUUCUUAUGCAUAUGAUGCGGAUAGCAAGUAUGUAUCAGAUAGACUAGCCGUUUUGAUGUAUGCUGCCAUAGAAAAUGAUACGUUUGUCCAACAUAAUGCUUUUAUCAAAUGUAUGUAUAAGGAUUGGAAUGAUUUGGUCAUGAAAUUCUUGCAUGAUAAACCUACUGAUCAAAUGAUAGCUGAAAUAUUUACCCAUUUCCCCAAUGGGGACUGUUUUACCGUCGGACAUGUCAUGUGUAUAUGUGCUUUUGUAUCGGAUGUCUUGAAGUUGAAUAAUCCCCCAAACGCAGAGGGUAUUAGAACUGCUCGCAUGAUGUCUUGUAAAAUGGUGCAGAGAAAUAAAACUGCUUGUAAAAUAUAUCUGUGCAUUGUAUCGAGGGGCCAGACAUUUUAAAUAAAAGGAUGGAUAACUCUGAUCGGUGUUUCAGUAUUCAUUUUUUGUUGCAGUCAUACGACAUGGAUAAACUGAUGCAUAAGACUUAUUAUGACCCCGCUGGACCAGGGGGUUACGGAGGUAUCAAUAAGCUACGAACAGCCCUCGCACAUAGUGAGGGUGCAGUACCUCCUCUGAAGUAUAUCAAGAAAUGGCUGCUGAAGCAGGAUCCCUACACUCUGCAUGUACCUGCACCGAUACAUUUCCGCAGAAAUAGAGUAUUGGUUAGUGGGGUAGAUAGACAGUUCCAGGCUGAUUUAGUGGAUAUGUCAGAGUACGCACCCGAAAAUGAUGGUGUGCAUUUUCUGUUGACGUGCAUCGAUGUAUUCUCAAAACAUGCAUGGGUUCGUCCAUUACCGUCCAAGAGGGCUAUCGACGUCGCUAAAGCUUUUGGUGAUAUUCUCAGCGAAGGGCGUAUCCCCGAUAAAUUGCAGACUGACGCUGGUAAAGAAUUUUAUAACAAGAUCUUUCAGCGUUUGAUGGAGCGGCACAACGUCAAACAUUUCUCUACAUCUAACGAGACCAAGGCCAGCAUAGUGGAGCGCUUCAACAGGACUCUGAAAACCCGCAUGUGGAGAUAUUUAACAGCU